rnacentral:rRNA from 1 species
UGAGUAACCUGCCCUUCAUUCUGGGAUAACUCCGGGAAACCGGGGCUAAUACUGGAUAUGACUCGAACAGGCAUCUGUUUCGGGUGGAAAGAUUUAUUGGUGGAGGAUGGACUCGCGGCCUAUCAGCUUGUUGGUGAGGUAAUGGCUCACCAAGGCGACGACGGGUAGCCGGCCUGAGAGGGCGAUCGUCGACCACACGUGGGACUGACGACCGACCCGGCCCAAGUACCCUUACCCGGUAC